CUCCUGGAAACGGGUGGUAAUGCCGGAUGUUCCACAUGAGCGCAUGCGAGUGUGGGAAAGGCUUUUUGCGGCAUGGGAUGGGGUCGCGUCCUAUCAGCUUGUUGGUGGGGUAACGGCCUACCAAGGCGUUGACGGGUAGCCGGCCUGAGAGGGCGACCGGCCACAUUGGGACUGAGAUACGGCCCAGACUCCUACGGGAGGCAGCAGUGGGGAAUAUUGCACAAUGGGCGCAAGCCUGAUGCAGCGACGCCGCGUGCGGGAUGGAGGCCUUCGGGUUGUAAACCGCUUUUGUUCAAGGGCAAGGCACGGUUUCGGCCGUGUUGAGUGGAUUGUUCGAAUAAGCACCGGCUAACUACGUGCCAGCAGCCGCGGUAAUACGUAGGGUGCAAGCGUUAUCCGGAUUUAUUGGGCGUAAAGGGCUCGUAGGCGGUUCGUCGCGUCCGGUGUGAAAGUCCAUCGCUUAACGGUGGAUCCGCGCCGGGUACGGGCGGGCUUGAGUGCGGUAGGGGAGACUGAAAUUCCCGGUGUAACGGUGGAAUGUGUAGAUAUCGGGAAGAACACC
rnacentral:rRNA from 1 species